rnacentral:rRNA from 1 species
AGUGAACGCUGGCGGUAGGCCUAACACAUGCAAGUCGAACGGCAGCACAGUAAGAGCUUGCUCUUACGGGUGGCGAGUGGCGGACGGGUGAGGAAUACAUCGGAAUCUACUUUUUCGUGGGGGAUAACGUAGGGAAACUUACGCUAAUACCGCAUCCGACCUACGGGUGAAAGCAGGGGAUCUUCGGACCUUGCGCGAUUGAAUGAGCCGAUGUCGGAUUAGCUAGUUGGCGGGGUAAAGGCCCACCAAGGCGACGAUCCGUAGCUGGUCUGAGAGGAUGAUCAGCCACACUGGAACUGAGACACGGUCCAGACUCCUACGGGAGGCAGCAGUGGGGAAUAUUGGACAAUGGGCGCAAGCCUGAUCCAGCAAUACCGCGUGGGUGAAGAAGGCCUUCGGGUUGUAAAGCCCUUUUGUUGGGAAAGAAAAGCAGCAGGUUAAUACCCCGCUGUUCUGACGGUACCCUAAGAAUAAGCACCGGCUAACUUCGUG